AACGCAUCUUGCGCUCCUUGGUAUUCCAUGGAGCAUGCCUGUUUGAGUGUCACGUAAAACCUCACCACCAGUGAUGUCAAAGUCUCUGGAGGUGGAAUUGGACCGUGCCGUAGUUGGCUCGUCCUGAAAUUCAUUAGCCUGCGCUUUGUUAGCGUGCUCGGCAUGGUGUGAUAAUUAUCUGCGCCGUCGCCUUAGGCCGCUUCUUUAAUGUGCUGCUUCUAAUCGUCCCUCGUGGACAGACACUAUAAAGCUUUGGCCUCAAAUCAGGUAGGACUACCCGCUGAACUUAA
rnacentral:misc_RNA from 1 species